GACGAACGCUGGCGGCGUGCCUAAUACAUGCAAGUCGAACGCAGUGGGGACGGGUGAGUACCCCGUGGGUAACCUCCCAUCAGAGGAGAUAACACUUGGAAACAGUUCCUAAACCGAUACUGAUGGAUGGACCCGCGUGUCAUUAGCUAGUUGGUGGGGUAACGGCUCACCAAGGCCACGAUGCAUAGCCGACCUGAGAGGGUGAUCGGCCAAAAUGUGACGGAGAUACGGCCCAGACUCCUACGGGAGGCAGCAGUAGGGAAGCUUCGGCAAUGGACGAAAGUCUGACCGAGCAACGCCGCGUGAGUGAAGAAGGUUUUCGGAUCGUAAAACUCUGUUGUUAGAGAAGCGGUAUCUAACCAGAAAGCCACGGCUAACUACGUGCCAGCAGCCGCGGUAAUAC
rnacentral:rRNA from 1 species